AUACGAUUAUGUAGGGCGUGCCAUGACUUCAAAUUUAAUACAAAUAAUAAUAAUAAAUCCUGCAAGGAAUACUGAUUUGAGUUGCAAGUUCUUUGACUCAAUAGAGAGUAUGGACUGCCCCACUGUCGAGCUUUGCUUCAGUUAACGCAAUUUUAAUGGAAAUGCGAGCGCUGACUGUGUACGCAACAAUAAAUACGGUAACAGCUGAAUAAAUUAAGCUCACAAUCGGCGCAGCAAGCAGUGCGAUUACAGUUGCCCAAACAAUGCCGCGCACCUGCCCCCUUCAGUGGCAGUGGAGUGGAGUGGAGUUGUUCAGAGUUCAGCGAAAUGCUUUAGGCCCAGCAGAGCAUCAAAAUCACUCAAAUGUUAAAUCAAAAACUUUUCUAGUGUCAGAUCCCAGAUAGAUGUUCAACGAGAAUUGUACAAAAAUUUUUGUUGUUGGCUGAUGGCUAAAGAAUGGUUAAAACACUGCAAUUAAAACAGCUUUGCAGCAUUUAAGAGAAUUGUACGGAAACUGUGAAUCAUUUUCAGAUAUUUCAGAGUUUUUGGAGCACAAAAUUCCAUCCACAGAAGCGGUAUAGAGCUUAAUGGCUUGUGGCUCUAACUGGCUUAACUUAAUUCUGCUCUCCCGCCUUCCACUUCUUUCAACCAAAUAACACUCACCAAAAAUCUGCUCUUGGCACUUGGACACUCGCCUCUUGUCGCUUCUGUGGUCGAAGCGAAGGUUUUUUCUGCUCAUCUGAUAUGCAAAGCCCCUCGCAAAUCAAGUAUUUAUUUAUUUCAAAAAACAUGUGAGGCAAACAAGCAAACAGCCACGGCACGGACACUAGAAAGAAACUGAAAUAAAAUAUCCCAAAAUGAUUAUCAUUCGAAGCACGUUUUAGCAAAUCACGUUUUGCCAGGCAAACAAUCGAAUACGAGUAGAUACAAAAACUAUCUUUUAUUUUUAGCUUUUAAUUUAAAUAAAUUCGAUAUAAUCAUUAUUAAUUCGCUAUCGAAGAUGCAAAAGUGUUUCAAGAAACAAAACACAGCUGAAAAGGCUCUUUGUUGCCAUUAGAACAGAGCCACUUGUGGAUCUCUUUGUGCAUUUAAUGAAGUAAACAAAGGAAUAUAUCAAGUGACGACUCAAGACUUGUCCAAUUAUACAUAAAUAUCAAGUAUGUGCAUGUGUUUUUGAUUUAAAUAGAAAUAAUGAAGAAGAGAGAAAUGCUUGGGAAAACAUUUCGCGGCGUGGCUGGCAAUUGGCCAAAAUGAAUAAAAACAUUCUUAUAAAAAUAAACAAUAACAAGUGCAAUGGCCAACAAGAUGCGCCACGAAUCGAAGUGAUGAUAAGCAUUUUAACGUGGCACAAAGCAGAAUGAAAAGGGGAUAUACUCAAUACUAAAAUGGAACAUUUCGGAGGAAUUUCCGUCUGAUCACCUGGUUC
rnacentral:sRNA from 1 species